GUGUAUUGAUUUUACUUGGUUCAAUGUUCAGUGGCAAGUAUUUUAUAUAUGCGCAGGUCCUGAGACAGAAAAUCAAAUUAUUCAUUCACUUAAGGUCUUCAAAAAUAACGAUUGCGAGAUGACGGACAGGAAGACUUCAAACGUAACAGUUUGAACUAGCUGUCAGAAACUUAAGUACUCUCAGAUCUUUUCUUGCUAUUGUCGUUUUGUUCUUCUGGUAAACAAGUGAUUCUUUCAUUGUUGAAGACUCUCUAGCGACUAUAAAGAUGAACAGGAAUAAAACGCUGACCAUUGAUAAUUUGUAUUUUUGUUUAGCUCUGACUUUGUGUUCGAUAAGGUCCCGUGUACCUUUACUCCAUAUUCCUUUAUUUUCUAUAAAGGCGUCUGUCUUGACAGUAAGUUGACACGACUUAAUACAAGUUAAACCCUUAAAUGUAAGACACCAGAUGGAAGUACUCAAAAAGGAGAGCCAGUUUGGUAUUCUGUAAUGUUAGAGUUCAAUUCUUCAUGAAGAAACGACUACUAGUAUAUGUUUUCUGUAUUCAGCAUAGAAUCAUAUCUUCUAAACUAUAUUUUUUCGCACAAUGUCUGGAUAUUGGUGGACAUGCAUCAUUGCGAAACCAGACAUUUACAAAUGAAAAUUAAUACUUGUACUAUAGCCAUUUAGUAGGAAAGUAAAUGCACAAAAGACAAGUAAUUCAGAAACAUGCAUGGAUCACGCAAAAUUAUGCAGGGGCGACACCGGAGUAAUGGGAGUUUGCUUCUUGCAAGACAUUCGCCGUGAAAACAAUUUGAUAUGAAGACAAGCCUUUGUUUCAACUUUGUUUUAAAAUUUCAAACAUGAGGCUGUUACGGCCCAGGUCAAUGUUCUUAAGCAACACAUAUUUUCCUUUCAUUUUGCUGUUAGCUUUCUGAUAUAAAUUUAUACAUAUUAUAGACUAUUAUGAUUCUUUUUUUUUCAAUUUCAGUUAAACACUAUUUAUGAUUUGCUUUUAAAUAAAUUUUUAACAUGUUUAAAUGUCUUUUUCUUUUUCUUCAUCUUUUUGAAACCCUGGUUUUGUAUUACCACUGACCAGUUCAGUAAAGAAACAGCUGCUUCAUGUUUGCAUAAAUGUGUUUGUAACCAAUCUAACAUGCUAUUAUAAUUUCCUUAGUUUUUAUUCCGUGUCUAUAGAUAGUCUUCAUCGGGGAGGCAAGAUUUAUUUUGUCUGUUGGUUGCUUGGCUAGCGUAAGCUAAUCGAUUUACCUCACAUUUUGAAGUUGGAUGGAGAUUGUUUCUAGAUAAAUGCCGUACCUUUGUACUUUGGUUUCCUGUCGGAUUUUUCUCAAUUUUAAAUUGGGAAGUUUUAUCAUUUGUUUUGCAUAAUUAUUAUUUUUGACUUGCAAAUGAACGAUUAAUAAAUCUAGUCCCGUGUGUGCUAGCGAAAUGUCUUUAGUGUAAUCUCGGAGUGUAAUUUUUAUUUCAACUUUUACGUUUGCAUCAGGACGACCUAAAACACGAAAACUUUCUUUUUUUCAAGAAUGACAUUCGUUACUUCAAACAAAAAUCGCUUUUAUCUUCUUUUUUUUUUGCAGUAAAAGACCUGUUUCUUUAAAAAAAAACUUUCAUACAAUCGACUGAUUCGGG
rnacentral:lncRNA from 1 species